GCCUCAGUAACGGCGAGUGAAGCGGCAACAGCUCAAAUUUGAAAUCUGGCCCCCCUCGGGGGCCCGAGUUGUAAUUUGGAGAGGAUGCUUUGGGCGCGGCGCCUUCCGAGUUCCUUGGAACAGGACGCCAGAGAGGGUGAGAGCCCCGUACGGUUGGACGCCUAGCCCGUGCAAAGCUCCUUCGACGAGUCGAGUAGUUUGGGAAUGCUGCUCAAAAUGGGAGGUAAAUUUCUUCUAAAGCUAAAUACUGGCCAGAGACCGAUAGCGCACAAGUAGAGUGAUCGAAAGAUGAAAAGCACUUUGAAAAGAGGGUUAAACAGCACGUGAAAUUGUUGAAAGGGAAGCGCCCGUGGCCAGACUUGCCGCCCGCGGACCACCUGGCGCCCCCGCGCCAGGGCACGCCGCGGGUGCGCAGGCCAGCAUCGGCUCUCCCAGGGGGACAAAGGUCGCGGGAACGUAGCUCCUCCGGGAGUGUUACAGCCCGCGGCGCCAUACCUCUGGGGGGGCCGAGGACCGCGCC
rnacentral:rRNA from 1 species